GUCAUAACAACUGUGCCCCAUCCUGACCAGCCUUACAGCACCUGAGAGUGCAUCAUGAGUGGAGGGAAGAGGCAGGAGAUGUAAUCUGAAGACAAGACAGCCUUGUGUUUGAGAAUGUGACUUACAGUCAUUGGCACACCAUCAAGAGGAGGUCCUGGCACACAGCAGAGGUAACAAAUACAUCCUCUAAAGAAAAAGAGUAUCAGCUGCUGCACAAUGCACAAACCUCUGCAGAGAGACAGAUGGAGGAAUCCAGAAUAUUCCAUGGAAAAAUCCACACUGUGAAGACUCACAAAUAAGGAUCAACAGGAGGACAGGGCUGCUUUCUGUGAUAACCUAAACUGCCUCAAGAGGUUCAUGAAUCUGUUGCCUCAUGUGGCAUCCAGUGAAACUAUAUGUCAUAUUUGUGUUUGGUCAGCCUUGUGUUUGGGCAGACCUUCCAAGUCAAACACUGAGAAGGAUCCUGCUGCAGACUCCAAAGUUACAGGCCUGUUCCUCAACACUGGAUUAGACGCAACCAUUUAGGACAUACAGCAAGUCCAAAAAUAAGUAUUCCAACUGUACGCCUGAAUCUCUUCUAAAAUGAGAUCCUAACAGUGUCGUCAUCAUUCAGUUGAAGUGUCUGGGUGUUGAGGGUAUCUCUAAGAGAAAAGCUUAUUGCUUUGAAAUACUGUGCCACUGGCCAGAAGCUCAGACAAACUGCAAAAAUUUUAUUAAAAUCAAUGAAAACUACUAAGGUCUAGAAUUUGUUAAUGAAAUAUCACAGGAGGCAUCUUUUUU
rnacentral:lncRNA from 1 species